GUUAGAUUUUACUCUAGUUCUCCUUCCUCCCGAGUCCACUCCUAAUUCCAAAAUCAGUCAUUCUCACUCCACGCCGUUCAUCCCUCGUAUCCAACUUUCAGUCAUCUUCUCCUUCGUCAUCACGACCAACGCAACGGCACCACCCAUCCUCCUUGACGACAUCCCACUGGCUCGAUUCUUUCCUCUUCAACAACAUCACUGUUGGCUCAAUUCUCUCAUUUUUAACAACCUUCACUUAUGUUUCUUGCCCAUUCGCAACCCUUAUAAUCCAUACCUUCCUUCCACCCAAAAUCUAAUUCUUUAAUCUCACAUCGCCGUCGCAAAUCCACCGCCCACCUGCCCUCCGUGAGCACUCCAUCACUCUCAAGGCUAUGCAAGGGCUUGUCGGUGGUGUUCAUUGGAGGCCACAUUGUAGUUCAACUUCUCCCUCAUGCUUGUCGGUGGUAUUUUUCUCUCGGUUUGGGCACCUUCACUGUCCAAUUUUUGGUUUGUUGACUUAUGAAUUGAAAAUUUACUAAAAUGUAUUGCAAAAUAUUGCAUAAAUAUGUGUUUAUAGUAAUGGGUUUUAUGAAAAAUAUGUGAAAUUUAGUGUUU